CGGGGCAGCGCCGCCACGCUCCCUCGGCUGCCGGGGCUAUCUGGGAGGCGGCAGCGGGGCCGCCCCGCUCCCGCGGAGCAGCUGCCCCUCGGCCCGGGCCGGCCUCCCUGCACCGCCCAGCGGCCACAGCCCCUUCCAAGGGAAUGCUUCCAGAAACACGUCGCAAUUUAAAUGAAGAGUAUUGGAAAAUGAUUUCCUGCCGUACCCGCUGAGGGAUGCCAGCGUUUCCCAGAAACACGGCUAUCGCCGUAGUCGCGGCGAUACAUCCUGACGGGGCUAACACAACUCUUCCACACUGACUGGAGUGAAACUUUAUGGAGCUGGCUUUGCAUACCUGAAAUUUUUUCCCCUUUGGGAAAUCUGGAAAAAGAUAACCAGAGCUGAAGUCUGUUGUGAAUGAAAAGCUCCACAGGUCGAUUGAGUGCUC